ACGGAAGGCAGCAGUGGGGGAUAUUGCACAAUGGGGGAAACCCUGAUGCAGCGACGCCGCGUGAGCGAAGAAGUAUUUCGGUAUGUAAAGCUCUAUCAGCAGGGAAGAAAAUGACGGUACCUGACUAAGAAGCUCCGGCUAAAUACGUGCCAGCAGCCGCGGUAAUACGUAUGGAGCAAGCGUUAUCCGGAUUUACUGGGUGUAAAGGGAGCGUAGACGGUUUGCCAAGUCUGAUGUGAAAGGUGGGGGCUCAACCCCCAAACUGCAUUGGAAACUGGUAGACUAGAGUGUCGGAGAGGUAAGUGGAAUUCCUAGUGUAGCGGUGAAAUGCGUAGAUAUUAGGAGGAACACCAGUGACGAAGGCGGCUUACUGGACGAUAACUGACGUUGAGGCUCGAAAGCGUGGGGAGCAAACAGGAUUAGAUACCCUGGUA
rnacentral:rRNA from 1 species